UACGUAGGGUGCAAGCGUUGUCCGGAAUUAUUGGGCGUAAAGAGCUCGUAGGCGGUCUGUUGCGUCGGCUGUGAAAACCCGGGGCUCAACCCCGGGCCUGCAGCCGAUACGGGCAGACUAGAGUUCGGCAGGGGAGACUGGAAUUCCUGGUGUAGCGGUGAAAUGCGCAGAUAUCAGGAGGAACACCGGUGGCGAAGGCGGCAUCCUGGACCGACACUGACACUGAGGAGCGAAAGCCAGGGGAGCAAACGGG
rnacentral:rRNA from 1 species